rnacentral:misc_RNA from 1 species
AAGUAUUCUUCGGUGCAGCCAGCGCUUCCACAGCGCGGCAGCCCAAACCUUACACACUGUGAUUAGUUUUUUUACUAUUUACUUUGGCUGCGCAAGUGGCCAAAGGUCUUAAACACAAAGAUUUAUAUCUUUUUUUACAAAAUUUAGUCAAUGAAGUUUUAAUACUAUAAUCUUCAAAACUUUCAACAACGGAUCUCUUGGUUCUCGCAACGAUGAGGAACGCAGCGAAAUGCGAUACGUAAUGUGAAUUGCAGGUUUUCGUGAAUCAUCGAAUCUUUGAACGCACAUUGCACCCUCUGGUAUUCCGGAGGGUAUGCCUGUUUGAGCGUCAUUUCUCUCUCAAACCUUAGGGUUUGGUAUUGAGUGAUACUCUCUUCUGGGUUAACUUGAAAUAGUGUACUGGCAAGAGUGUGCUUUUGUGGCCUCUUGACUGAGAUAAUGUAUUAGGUUCUACCAACUCGUUAUAGCAGCUCAAUUGUCCCUUUGGCAUAUCAGCUCGGCCUGACAACUCCUUCUAAAGUUUGACCUCAAAUCAGGUAGGACUACCCGCUGAACUUAAGCAUAUCAAUAAGCGGAGGAUCGUACGCUUGGUCAUUUAGAGGAAGUAAAAGUCGUAACAAGGUCUCCGUUGGUGAACCAGCGGAGGGAUCAUUACCGAGUUUACAACUCCCAAACCCCUGUGAACAUACCUAUAUGUUGCCUCGGCGGAUCAGCCCGCGCCCCGUAAAACGGGACGGCCCGCCGCAGGAUCCACAAACUCUGUUUUUAUUGUAACUUCUGAGUAACAAAACAAAUAAAUCA